CAGCCGUAAACUAUGCGCGUUAGGUGUAUCGGUGACCACGAGUUACCGAGGUGCCGAAGGGAAACCGUGAAACGUGCCGCCUGGGAAGUACGGUCGCAAGGCUGAAACUUAAAGGAAUUGGCGGGGGAGCACCACAACAGGUGGAGCCUGCGGUUUAAUUGGACUCAACGCCGGGAAGCUCACCGGAUAGGACAGCAGAAUGAUGGCCAGGUUGAUGACCUUGCUUGACAAGCUGAGAGGUGGUGCAUGGCGUGUGACUGU
rnacentral:rRNA from 1 species